rnacentral:rRNA from 1 species
UACGGAGGAUCCAAGCGUUAUCCGGAUUUAUUGGGUUUAAAGGGUGCGUAGGCGGCUUUUUAAGUCAGGGGUGAAAGACGGUGGCUCAACCAUCGCAGUGCCUUUGAUACUGAAGAGCUUGAAUGAACUUGAGGUAGGCGGAAUGUGACAAGUAGCGGUGAAAUGCAUAGAUAUGUCACAGAACACCGAUUGCGAAGGCAGCUUACUAAAGUUUAAUUGACGCUGAGGCACGAAAGCGUGGGGAUCAAACAGG